CGUAGGGUGCAAGCGUUAAUCGGAAUUACUGGGCGUAAAGCGUGCGCAGGCGGUUUUGUAAGUCUGACGUGAAAUCCCCGGGCUCAACCUGGGAAUUGCGUUGGAGACUGCAAGGCUAGAAUCUGGCAGAGGGGGGUAGAAUUCCACGUGUAGCAGUGAAAUGCGUAGAGAUGUGGAGGAACACCGAUGGCGAAGGCAGCCCCCUGGGUCAAGAUUGACGCUCAUGCACGAAAGCGUGGGGAGCAAACAGGAUU
rnacentral:rRNA from 1 species